UAAGGAAUAUUGCACAAUGGGGGAAACCCUGAUGCAGCAACGCCGCGUGAGUGACGAAGGCCUUCGGGUUGUAAAACUCUUUUCUGAGGGAUGAGGAAGGACAGUACCUUAGGAAUAAGUCUCGGCUAACUACGUGCCAGCAGCCGCGGUAAAACGUAGGAGGCGAGCGUUAUCCGGAUUUACUGGGCGUAAAGGGGAAGUAGGCGGUGGUUCAAGUUGGGCGUGACAGAUCCUGGCUUAACUGGGAGAGGUCGUUCAAAACUGGAUCACGAGAGGGCAAGAGAGGGGAGCGGAAUUCCUGGUGUAGCGGUGGAAUGCUCAGAUAUUAGGGAGAACACCAGUGGCGAAAGCGGCUUUCUGGCCUGCACCUGACGCUGAAGGGCGAAAGCUGGGGGAGCGAACGG
rnacentral:rRNA from 1 species